GAACGACGCUGGCGGCAGGCCUAACACAUGCAAGUCGAGCGCCCCGCAAGGGGAGCGGCGGACGGGUGAGUAACGCGUGGGAACGUACCCUUUGCUACGGAAUAGCCUCGGGAAACUGGGAGUAAUACCGUAUGUGCCCUUCGGGGGAAAGAUUUAUCGGCAAAGGAUCGGCCCGCGUUGGAUUAGGUAGUUGGUGGGGUAAUGGCCUACCAAGCCGACGAUCCAUAGCUGGUUUGAGAGGAUGAUCAGCCACACUGGGACUGAGACACGGCCCAGACUCCUACGGGAGGCAGCAGUGGGGAAUCUUAGACAAUGGGCGCAAGCCUGAUCUAGCCAUGCCGCGUGAGCGAUGAAGGCCUUAGGGUUGUAAAGCUCUUUCAGUGGGGAAGAUAAUGACUGUACCCACAGAAGAAGCCCCGGCUAACUCCGUG
rnacentral:rRNA from 1 species